GGGAAUGUGGCUCAGUGGUAGAGUGCUUGCCUACCAUGCAUGAAGUCCUGGGUUCGAUUCCUUAGUACCA
rnacentral:tRNA from 1 species